rnacentral:rRNA from 1 species
UACGAAGGGUGCUAGCGUUGCUCGGAAUUACUGGGCGUAAAGCGCACGUAGGCGGCUUGUUAAGUCGGGGGUGAAAUCCUGGAGCUCAACUCCAGAACUGCCUUCGAUACUGGCGAUCUCGAGUUCGGGAGAGGUGAGUGGAACUGCGAGUGUAGAGGUGAAAUUCGUAGAUAUUCGCAAGAACACCAGUGGCGAAGGCGGCUCACUGGCCCGAUACUGACGCUGAGGUGCGAAAGCGUGGGGAGCAAACAGG